AUUUAUAUAGUUUAGAAAAACAUUACACUUUCACUGUAAAAACAAAGAAACUCUUUUAUAAAUA
rnacentral:tRNA from 1 species